rfam:Schistosoma mansoni strain Puerto Rico chromosome 4, complete genome
AUCCAGCUGACGAGUUCAAAAUAGGGUGAAACGCGCGUCAUUUAU